AUUUUAUUUGUGUAACUUUUUUAGUAAGAUGAAUUGAUUUCUUGGGCAUUUUGACUUACAGUUAGAUUUGCAGGUUUGUUUGAAUCUAGAAAAGCAAAAAAAAUGGUUGAAGUGGUACAAGAUGCUGAGGAAAUUGAAACUAGUCCAUGUGAAACAGAAAGGGCAAAGAAUGUGAGGGGAACAAAUAUUUGUAAGAAUCUUUUGCGACUGAGACCUGGAGAAAACUUAAAAGUCACUUUCUAUCAAAAUCGAGUCGUCGGGUAGAAUCACACCUCAUUUACGAGACACUUGGGUUUGCUAGUUCGUGAUCGUAAUAUGUGUCCACUCCGGGUACACUUAUGGAUGGACAUCGAAGAGCAUAAGCUUGAGCACAUGUGGGCAGCUGUUACUGAGAAGUUUGACAGUGAUGACAUGAAUGAUCAAAGAGAUAAUGUUUUGCAACAUAUGAGAAAGCUUUGAAAUAACUGGAGAGGAUCAUUGCACAAGAAUGUGAAAUCUAAAUCAUUGCACGAGGUUCUUAAAGAUGUGCCGAUGGGAGUAGACAAGAGUGAUUGAGAAUAGUUGGUCAAGGAACAUUUUUUAUCUAAGAAAUUUAAGGAAGCAAGUACAAGAAACUCAGUCAAUAGGUCUAAGUUGUGUAUGCCUCAUCGUACGGGUAGCAGGCCCAUUAGAGAGAUUGUUUACGAAAUGGUAAAUAAAUUGUGCAACCCUAUAAAGAAACCUCUCCUAUUUCUAUAAAAGAUCUUAUGACUUAUUU